UGGGGAAUAUUGCACAAUGGAGGGAACUCUGAUGCAGCGACGCCGCGUGAACGAAGAAGGCUUUCGAGUCGUAAAGUUCUUUUAUAUGGGAAGAUAAUGACGGUACCAUAAGAAAAAGCCCCGGCUAACUACGUGCCAGCAGCCGCGGUAAUACGUAGGGGGCUAGCGUUGUCCGGAAUCACUGGGCGUAAAGGGUUCGCAGGCGGAAAUGCAAGUCAGGUAUAAAAGGCAGUAGCUUAACUACUGUAAGCAUUUGAAACUGCAUAUCUUGGGAAGAGUAGAGGUAAGUGGAAUUUUUAGUGUAGCGGUGAAAUGCGUAGAUAUUAAAAAGAAUACCGGUGGCGAAGGCGACUUACUGGGCUCAUUCUGACGCUGAGGAACGAAAGCGUGGGUAGCAAACAGG
rnacentral:rRNA from 1 species